GUGUUAAAUGAAAGGCGAGAAGGUUAGCACUUCCCUUGAUAAGUAUGAAAGAGGUCCUAGUGGCCUUUACAACACAUAUAUACAUCUAAGGCAUUGCUACCUAUUCCAUGGAAUCUAACUAUGGUUU